rnacentral:rRNA from 1 species
UCCGGUUGAUCCUGCCAGAGGUUACUGCUAUCGGAGUUCGAGUAAGCCAUGCGAGUCUAAAGGUUUCUUCGGAAACCUUGGCGGACUGCUCAGUAACACGUGGAUAACCUACCCUUAGGACUGGGAUAACCCCGGGAAACUGGGGAUAAUACCGGAUAGAUCAGGGAUGCUGGAAUGCACCUUGAUCCAAAGCUCCGGCGCCUAUGGAUGGGUCUGCGGCCUAUCAGGUUGUAGUGGGUGUAACGUACCUACUAGCCGACGACGGGUACGGGUUGUGAGAGCAAGAGCCCGGAGAUGGAUUCUGAGACACGAAUCCAGGCCCUACGGGGUGCAGCAGGCGCGAAACCUUUACAAUGUGCGAAAGCAUGAUAAGGGGACUCCGAGUGCCAGCAUCUAAUGCUGGCUGUCCUUGUGCCUAAAAAGCGCAAGAUAGCAAGGGCCGGGUAAGACCGGUGCCAGCCGCCGCGGUGACACCGGCGGCCCGAGUGGUAGCCGCUAUUAUUGGGUCUAAAGGGUCCGUAGCCGGUUCGGUAAGUCCUCUGGGAAAUCUGGUUGCUUAACAAUCAGACUGCCAAGGGAUACUGCUGAACUUGAGACCGGGAGAGGUAAGAGGUACUUCAGGGGUAGGAGUGAAAUCUUGUGAUCCCUGGGGGACCAUCUGUGGCGAAGGCGUCUUACCAGAACGGGUCUGACGGUGAGGGACGAAAGCUGGGGGCGCAAACCGGAUUAGAUACCCGGGUAGUCCCAGCCGUAAACGAUGCUCGCUAUGUGUCAGGUACGGUGCGACCGUAUCUGGUGCCGUAGGGAAGCCGUGAAGCGAGCCACCUGGGAAGUACGGUCGCAAGACUGAAACUUAAAGGAAUUGGCGGGGGAGCAC